UGAGGAAUAUUGGACAAUGGGCGCAAGCCUGAUCCAGCCAUGCCGCGUGCAGGAAGAAGCAUCUAUGGUGUGUAAACUGCUUUUGUACGGGAAGAAACACUCCUACGUGUAGGAGCUUGACGGUACCGUAAGAAUAAGGAUCGGCUAACUCCGUGCCAGCAGCCGCGGUAAUACGGAGGAUCCAAGCGUUAUCCGGAAUCAUUGGGUUUAAAGGGUCCGUAGGCGGUUUAAUAAGUCAGUGGCGAAAGCCCAUCGCUCAACGAUGGAACGGCCAUUGAUACUGCUAGACUUGAAUUACAAGGAAGUAACUAGAAUAUGUAGUGUAGCGGUGAAAUGCUUAGAUAUUACAUGGAAUACCAAUUGCGAAGGCAGGUUACUACUUGUGGAUUGACGCUGAUGGACGAAAGCGUGGGGAGCGAACA
rnacentral:rRNA from 1 species